AGAAUUAUUAAUAAAAAAAGGAAAAGGAAAACAAAAUUAAUAAACCUCACGUUUCCUCUCUCCCUCACGUUUCCUCUCCCUCACGUUUCCUCUCUCCCUCACGCUUCUCCUCUCUCACACGUUUCCUCCCUUAGUCCAUUGACUCUCCCUAUUGGCUGGAAAUAAAAAGAAGGAAAGACCAAGGUGACCAUGACACAAUACACUCUCUCUCUCCAAAAAAAUAAAAAAAGAGGAUUUAAAAAACAGAAAGAAAAAAGAAAGACGUUAAGGCUCUCUCACUAUUUAUCUUUUAAAAAGAUCUCCCUCGGCCACUCACUCUUUCUACCACCACCGCCGUGAUUUCCUUCCACUCAUUUUCUUCCUUCCACCGUGCAUCACCACCGACACGCACCAUUCUUCAUCACCGACGGAAGCCACCAACUACACGACCUUCACGCUGACAACCUCCGGCGAGAUCAUCUUCCAAACACACAUCCACUAACCGCUUCCGCCUAAACCUCCUCUCAACAUAGUCGGCACCGAUGUAAGUCCUCAUUUCCGUCGCCGCUCAACCAAUCUCCGCCGGCAAACCCUUCACCUCGCCACGUCUCCUCACUAUUUUCCAUCCGGCGACCACCACACCGCGCCCUCACUCGCCCUAACCACCGUCGCCGCGAAAACCAAACCCAAACACACCUUUCAUCAACUACUCAUAACCUCGUCGCAAUUACCAGCUCCGAUACGCCUUCAUUCCGGUUUCCACUUUGAUUAUGGUUCGAUUAGAUUAAGCUUGUGAUAAGUUUUCUAUUUGGAUUUGUUGCAGGUUCUAGCAUUGAAGUUACUUUCUCUAGGAAAAAAACGUUUGAAAAACAAUGCUCCGACAACCCAACUCAAUGGUUCGCAACAACAACGAUAAGUUCGGUUGGUUUUCCACGACUGUCAUGGGUUUUUAAUAAUGUUCGAUUGUCAUUUUCAGUAACGCUUCCAAUAUCUGUAUGGUUUUCAUUUUUGAAUCCGGAUUUUAUUUCUACCCAUUUUGUUUUGAGUAUUUUGUUUCAAAUUAUAUUUACAUUGGCUUGGGUUUAGUUUUCUCUCCGGUUUCGAAACCAUCACCUAAUAACAUGAAGACUUUGACCGGUAAAUUACUGUUACGAAGUUCGGAAGGGCUAUAUUCAAGUUAUCGUUCCAAUUACUACAUACUGGGUUUUAAAAGGUUUCAUGAUGUUUAAUGAUGAGUGUUCUUAUUGAGUCUGAUUUUUAUGAAUAAAUUCUGAUUUCAUUCGGAUAAUAUUUGAAAAAAAAGUAUUCUAUAUAUAUUGUUUAUUUUGUUUUUCAUGCAGACAAGUAAGUGAGAAAGAUGGAAUGAUAUACUAGUUUUUGUUUUAGAAAGAGUUCUUUUAUUUAAUAUAUUGAUCAUGCUUUUUUCCAAAAUCUGUGUCACAUGUUAAGUUACAAAUUUAUGAUAUCCCUCCUUUAAAAGAAUAAGUGUCGUCGGCUACCGUAAGCAUGCUUUUCAAUUUUUUUAUUUUUUAUUUUUUAUUUUUUUUAUUAUUUGUAUAAUAAUAAUGGAAUUAGGAUUAAAGUGGGCUUUUGGAUUAGGCCCAACUAAGGUUGAUUUUUUUUUUACACCUCUAUGUUCAUUCAUGAACCCCAUUUUGUGUGAUUUAUUUUCUUAACUAUUCUAAUGUAACAUUUAGCUAGUUAAUUAUUUUUUUUAUUUAAAGAAUUGAUUGGAUCUUAAUUAGAUAAUUCUUAUGUAGUUAGUAAAUGAUUAAUGAAUUUGCUAAUUAAUGAUUCAUAUUCACUUGUGUAGCCAUUGUUGGGAUCCCUUUUGUAUUCUAAUUUUGUAUUACUCUUGUGAGCAUGUAAAUGACACUUAUGUUGCUUUUGUUUUAUUCCGAUUGUGUGUAAAGUCCGAUUAAAUUAAUGGAUUCGGCAAUUUCAUGUGAACAAUUGUCAUUUUCCCAAACAUACAAAUAAAUCAAAUUCUUUUACAUUAAGGAAUAAAAAGGGAGAUGACUUUGAGUCUUCAAUUUUUCUCCUCGACUAUCUGAGUACAAGUUCUCUUACUUGUUUAGUCAAAUAGUUAUCGUUCCUCUACAAAUCUCCAAACCCCGAUUAAAUCAAAUUAUUUUCACAUUAAGCUAUAUGAAAAGGGAGUUGACUUUGAGUUUUCAACUUCUCUCCUCAAUUGGUUGAAUACGAGUUCUCUUACUCGGUUAGUCAAACAAUUGUCAUUUCUCCACAAACAUACAACUUGAUCAAGUCACUUUCAUAACAAAUUAUACGAAAAGGGAGAUGGUCUUGAGCCUUCGAUUCCUCUCCUCAAAUGCUUGGAUAUGAGUUGUUUUACUCAAUCAUUCAAGCACUUGUCGUUUAUUAUAAAAAUACAUCAGCCAUGUACAAACUUAUUUUCAUAAAUACUCAGAUGAUACAGAAAGUGGUUUAGAGUCUUCUAUUCCCUUUCUCGAUUAUUAGGAUACGAGUUGUCUUACUCGAUUAUCCGGGUAUUUGUCAUCCAUUCAAAACACCUUAAUUAUCAUCAAAUCCUUUUACAAUUAAGGAUGAAACUGAAAGCGGUUUAGAGUCUUCUAUUCCCUUUCUCGGUUAUUAGGAUACGAGUUGUCUUACUCGGCUAUCCGAAUAAUCCUCAUCCAACCAAAAAUAUCUCAAUCAAUCAAAACGUCCAACAUAUUAAUCCAACUUGUCACCCUCGUGUGAUCAAAACUCUUUUCAGAAAGAACACUGUUUAACCUUUUCUAAUGCGCACAACAAACUAGUGCUUAAGCCUCCGUCGAGAGUAGACAAGCCAACGUUUAGCCUUUAGAACGCGACCUAAACAAUUGUUCACUAAAAGACACCAACCAACCGUAGUUCCCCGAACUACGAAUGCUCUGAUUUCCUUAUCGCACCAUAAGGAUACGUAGGCAGGAGAUUGCUGUAUCUUCGCGAGCACACUAAUAAAAAACCUCCCUUUUCCCCUUCUAUGAGGUUCUCAUCCAUUUCUAUUUUCAAUAUUUUAUAACCCAAAGAUAACAAACAAACAUAAAUUAACACUCGAAACACACAUUAGAACUAAAAGGUUCCCGUUGAGUACAACAGACGUAAGGGGUGCUAAUACCUUCCCCUUACGUAAUCCACUCCCGAACCAGAAUAUGGUUGCGACGACCAUUGUUCCAUUUCCUAAAGGUUUUAUCGAUAUUUUCCUAUUCCUUCAUUGGGAUAAACAAAGUUCGGUGGCGACUCUGUUCGAACAUUAAUUUUUAUGCGACCAUCGCGAGGAAUCGUAUUUUUCGAGAUGCGACAGAUGGCGACUCUGCUGGGGAAAAGCUCCAAGCAAAAGAGAGUUAAGCCUAAUUUAGUUUUGUUUCGGUAUUGUGUGUUAAUCUUGUUUGUUUGUCUUUUAUUUUUAUUCUGUUAUUAUUAUUCUGUCAUAAUUAUUGUAUUGUGAUUUAUUGACUAUGUCUUAUUUGGGGUUCUCUGAUUGGUGGUACUUUGUGAGAUAGGCUCUCUACCCGAGUCUAAGAAAAACCGUAAGUUUAAGUUGGUGGUUGCGUAGUGGACGCCCACAAGGAGUCUUCCUUGUUGGGAAGAUAUGAAGACCCCGCCUAGAGGAGAUUCUCUUGAGAUAUUGUUGCCCAACGAGUCUUCAUCACGAUGAUAGUAUUCUCAAUUUGGAUCAAUGACUGUAGGGACCUUUUAACCCACUAUAUCCGGCGGUUAUGUAGUAUUAACCUACGAAGUUUCAGACUUGUUGGGUUAAUACGAAAGCCCCAAUUAGAUGAGAUCCCUUGGACGUAUUGCUAUGUUACAGUAAUAUUUCCAACCUCGAUCUAUGACUCUGAGAACCUUGUUAGAACCCUGGACUCGAGUGUCAUGUAGUAGAAUCCUCAUGGAGUUUUCCUUGUUGGGAUAAUACAAAGACCUCACCUAGACGAGAUUUUCUUAAGGAUACUAUUGUUCGACGAGUCUUCGUCACGGCAGUGACGUCCUCAAGAAAUAUCCAUGACUCUGGGAACCUACCAACUGUAGAGCCUACCCAUGGGGUUCCAUUAAUCAGAGAUACCUGUCAUUUACCCGUUAUUCUGAUCCAUCUGAAAAUACUUUGAACCUGUGAUCCUGAACAUGUCACUACAACUCAUACACAUAUCAUUGCAUCUGCAAUCGUCAUGCAUUGCAUAUCACCUUUCAUACAAAAUAUAUACAAAAAAACUCAUCCACCCUUCGUCCAUAGCCUGCAAUUGAUUUCCCGAUACUCAUAUCAGACUUGAAGUAGCUCUUGAAAGAUCAUGGAUCCGUUGGAGCAAAGUCAUAUUGCAUUGGGAGGAGAUGUGGACUUGAUAAAAAAUCGUCUAGACCAACUUGUGGAAGCUAUGAUAGUUUCAUCAAAAAAGGAAGACAUCCUCAACACUGGCAAUCGUUGGACUGAUUUGUGUCUAUUUUUGCAUUUAUAGUUUCUUUGUUGUUAAAAGUUGCUUGUGUUUAAACAUUGUUGUUUUUAAUGGUAACAUUGAUGAAGUAAUGAUGCAUGUUUUGAAUUAAUUAUCUCGCAUUCGCUCAUUUUUCUUUUCUUAUAUCAAAAACAAAAAUACAUAAUUGUUUCACCCAUUUGCUUUUCUUUAUCAUAACCUUUGUUUUAGCAAAGAUUUGAGGGAGGAUGACGAAAACAAGUUACCCAUAAUUGCUGCCUAUAUGCUUUCGGAUAAAAUCCUGCUGAUGAUGUACAGGCAUUGUUUCAAAUUCCCAAACACUGGAGAGAUAAGGAGUUAAUCCCCAGUCAACCACUUCGAGCCUGAAGUAGGAGUUUCUUUCGGAUCUAAAAAACCUUACAUUAAACCUGGGGUAGGGUAGUGUUCAGUUAAUCUGACUAUGCAUUCAAAUCACAAGAUGAAAUAUCCAAUAUGUGGAUCAACUACAUGACAUUCUUCGCACACAUCCUAAAGUGUCGAAGGAACCUUGAAAAAUCAAAAAGUUAUGACGGUUGUUCUUCAAUGACCAAUGACUUGGCAGCCACAAUUCUAAAAAAUAAAAUAAAAAUAAGCCCGCUAAGUCGAUACCCCAAAAAGGAGACUUAGGCAAAAACCGGGGAAAUCCCGAUGGACUAAAGCUUCAAAAAGCGGUCCAUGCAAAAUCUAGGGAUCAAAACAAAAGUCAAAGGAGGUCACGAAAACCCUCAACAAAAUAAAAACAAGAUUUAGUGACCACCAUAUCAAGAAUCAAAGGGUCACCAAUAUCCAUGAAGAGCAAAAUAAAGUGCAUGUCAUUUCAAGAGAUCUUACACCUGCAAACUCUCUUAAAAGUUGAAUGUGUAUGGCAAAUUAACUGAGCAUAGGACUGGAGUUUAUCAAGAAGAAGGGUGGGUACAGAAACAAUUUUGAGCCUCAUAUCCUUUGUUUCGAUAACCGUGAACCAAGCACUGAGCAUAGGACUGGAGUUUAUCAAGAAGAAGGGUGGGUACAGAAACAAUUUUGAGCCUCAUAUCCUUUGUUUCGAUAACCGUGAACCAAGCCACGUUACAACCCUUAAAAGACCUAAUUGAAGUACGGUUUAUUCCGAAAGCAUACUACAUCAAGGUUGCGUAAACUGACUCCUAAAAAUUUGCUAAUCUUUUACUUUGGUACAAUCUUCUUGUUGUAUCCUUCGCGUUGUUAAAACAUCAUUGCAUUUGGAUUAAAAUGGUCCACUCGUCACACAUUAUCACAUCAUUCAAAUAAAUUCUUUUCAAAACUUGCAUGAGUAUCACAUUAAAAUUACCAUUUCUGAACAAGCAAUUUUAACUGCAAGUCAGUACUUGACGUCAGGGAAAUUCCAACAAUAAGGAACAAUUAGAGGAACUUGGACAUUCGUUGGUACUAACCCGAAUCAAGACUGCCUCAUAACCCACGAAUCAGGUGCAUGCCACCCAAAACAUCAAGUUGAUCAUAGGAAAAUUACUCCAAGAAUUGUUCAGUCUUAAACAGUCUCCAACAUCUAUUAAUAAAUAUGCAAAUCAUUUCAAGAAUCAGUUGAUCCAGAGCAAAUCAUCUCAGGACUCUAUUAACUAAGGGCGGAUCACCUAGAGGUUCUGUUGGCCAGGGGUAGACCCCUUCAAUGUUCAGUUAGGGUGAGUUAAGUCGCUUCAAUGCUCAUACCGGAGCAAGCUACCUCAAGAGCACAGAAAAGUCAAUCACUCCAAGAGUCGGUUAACCAAGGAUAAAUCCUUUCAUGGAUCAAAAUUCUGGGGAAAUCCAUCUCCAAAUUAUGGUACAAUUGCUUUCAAAAUCCUUUCGAGGUAAACAUUUUACAUAGACCCAUCACAUUGGGGAAAGAUGAGCCAUACAGGAGCGAGUCCUCUCCAUGUUUCAAGAAGUUCAAGCAAAAGCUUUUUCGCAUGUCAGCAAAUGCAGAGUUCAAGAUGAGUGUCGGGGAAUCAUACUAUCACCCCCAUCAAAUAACCUUUUGGCAGACAAAAGCCUUUCUACAAAGAACCUUCUCUUCCAAAACCCACACAGGGGCAUUUUGAAAGCCUUCAAAUCAUUGCAUAAAGCAUCCUCAUGCAUUAGUCAUGUCACUUUGCUCUAAGAUAAAACCAUGCAUAUCAUAAAAUUCAUCGGGUCUAACCCCAUAACAUGAACCACAUUUUGAAAGCCUUCAAAUCAUUGCAUAAAGCAUCCUCAUGCAUUAGUCAUGUCACUUUGCUCUAAGAUAAAACCAUGCAUAUCAUAAAAUUCAUCGGGUCUAACCCCAUAACAUGAACCUGGCAUUAAAAAGCCUUGAAACACAAAAUAUGACACCAAAGCCCAGUUCCCGUUUGGCAACUUAUUCCAAAGUCCAGUUCUCGUCUGGCAAUUUACUACAAGGAUCAGUUCUCGUCUGGAAAUUUAUUUUGAAGUCCAAUUCUCGUUUGGCAAUUUACUGCAAAGUCCAGUUCCCGUCUGGCAAUUUAUUUCAAAAGGCCCAGUUCCCGUCUGGCAAACCUUUCUCAAAAAAACAGUUCCCGUCUGGCAAUUUAUUUCAAAGCCCAGUUCCCGCCUGGCAACUUAUUUCAAAAGCCCAGUUCCCGUCUGGAAAUUCAUUUCAAAACCCAGUUCCCGUCUGGAAAUUCAUUUCAAAGCCCAGUUCUCGUCUGGCAAUUUAUGUCAAAGUCCAGUUCUCAUCUGGCAAACUAUUUCAAAAAUCAGUUCUUGUAGGAAAAAUCAUUUACCAAAUACCAGUUCUCGUCUGGUAAACUAUCUCUUAAAUACCAGUUCUCGCCUGGUAGGUCACCUAUUGCGAUACCAGUUCUCGCCUAGUAGUCUAUUUCUCGUAACCAGUUCCCGUCUGGUAGCUGUCAUACCCCAAUUUUGUCCGGGCAUAUUUAAAUUUUCAUGGAAUUGAUUUCAUUUUUAUUUUUGCAUCAUAUGCAUAGCAUGACAUACAUUCCAUCAUGAAUAAUACCUAAAAUAUCAGUCAGAAUAAAUUUAUUGAAAAUACAGACAAAUUGGUUAAAUCGUUUCUCAAGAACAUGCAAAAUCAGCGGGUAAAAAGUUUUAAAUUUAAAAUUGCAGACACCAGUAUUAUUAAUCUACUAUUCACGUAGUUUAACCUGGUGUGCUCGUUGUAUUUUUCAGCGACUGUUUCGAUUGCAUUUUGACCCGCCUGAGCCUUUUAACCGGUGCAAAUUUAUUUCAGAAUUUGAAGAAACGCUGUAUUUUUUAAUAAGUAUAUUUUUGUGCUGAUUAUUUUAGUGUGCCUGAUUUAAUUUUCCAAGCAAAUUUAUAUCCGGCUUAUAUUUAUAAUCAAUCACUAUUUAUAUUAGGUUAAUUAUUCAACUAAAAUAAUUAGUGUAAAUAAUCAUAAUUAUUGUUAAAUUUAUUUUGGUUUGCUUAAUUAUUAAUUUUUAAAGUAUAGAAAAAAAAGGUUAAAAAUGUGAGUUUAGAUUUAUUCAUAAAAAUAUUUCUCAAUCUAAAAAAGAAAUGGAUAAGAAGGAACAGAUUUGGUGAAUUUUGAGGAUCCAAUAGCAGUGUGACACGUGUCACUCUUCACUCUCUCAUACAAAAACUCUUCACAUCUCUCUCUCAUGGACAACUGGAACCCACUCCCUAACCGUCUCUCUAUCCACUCCACAAAGGACCCUAUUUGUGUGAUGGUAACGAAAGGAGAGAUAUAAAAAAAAGGCACUCACAACAAAUUAAGAAAAAAGGUCUCUCAGAUUCGCUCUCCCUCACUCACUCAUUCCCACCAACCACUCUCUCAUCUCUACACAUUCCAAAAAAAAGAAAAGACAAAAGAAAGACAGCUCUAAAAAAUCUGAAAAAUAAAAAGAGAUUCAUUGUUCUCUCUCUCAUGAAAAUCCCCACACGUCUCCGCCAAUCUCCUUCAACCACCGGCGAAACCCCCUUCUUCUUCAAUAUCCGCCAACACAACCUUCAGCCUCCCAACCGCGGUUCCCUCUCCUUCCAUAAUCGCACCUCCACCGUCCAAAUCCACCAUCAAAAUCGCGACCUCGCCAUCACCGUAAAAGCCACAACCCAACCACCCUUCGACCAGAUCCAUAAAAACACCGCCACUCAACAUCUUCAUCAACCCCCAAAACCGUCGGCGAACCUCCACCGUGCAACCCUCUUCGCGAUCGCCGUUUCCGUCAAUAGCACCAUCGUUCUCCCUCUGAACCGUCCCUCACCAUAAAGCAACAACCGAAGCAACUUUCCUUUUCGUCUUCAAACCAACACAGCAAAUCUGUCGCCGACAAAACAACUCAAAGAUUCCAGUACAACAUAACAACUCGGUUUCUAUUGGAGCAACACAAGACGACAACUCCGGUAUGGUUUUCGAUGCAAACUCAGACGCAACAAAUCUGCAAUAUCAACGGACCACUCGAUUGCAGUAACUCAGCAACAACAACUUGGUUUCAACAUCAUUUAGUUGCCACAAAUUUCCGGUAACAAUUGUGUUUUGGUUUGGUAACAUUUUCGAUCUAAUGACUUCAUUUUUUAUGUUACAUCCUUUUAUGAGUUUUCGAGUCCGUCCUGUUAUGAGUUUUCGAGUCCGUCCUGUUAUGAGUUUUCGAGUCCAAUUCAUCUGCUGUUUGUUGCUUCAGUGUGUGUUUUAAAAUUUUGUUUGGUUUUUACAUUGUUCUAUUUUGAAAAAUAUUAAGUAAGUUUGUUCUUGAAUAAGUUGAUUGAUUGAUACAUCUAUGGGAUAUAUCAGUAGUUUUAAUUUUUAAUUUAUUGCUAUUAUGUUUUGUUUCGAUAAUGAUCAAGUCAGAAGGGUAAUUGUUGUAGAGUUUGAUUUUGAUCACAUAGAUUUCUUCUAUUCUGUUUCGGUUCAUAUAGGCGAUUUAUGUGUGAAACUGUAUGCUAUUGGUGAUAACAGUUAAGAUCUUCAAUUUGAUUUUGAGCUGUAGCAAAUGAUUUCCUCAUUCUGUCAUAUUGUUUCUUAAACUGUAUUGAAGUUAAAAUUAGUUUCUACCAGGAUAUAAAUCUCAAAGCUUAUUCCAAUUUUUUUGGGUUAAUUAGUCUCUGUUCUAGUUAAAUAGAAUAAUAGGUAAUAUUAAUCCUAACUUUUGUGAUUACAUUAUCGGUGUUAUGGUUAAAUUGUCAAUUAAUUGAUUCAAGAUUGUGUUUGUUUAUAUUGAUGAGUGAGUGUUAAGAGUUGUAACAAUAUUGUUUUGUUGAAAUACUUUAGUAUACAAAUGUUGACCCAAUUAUGUCAUGACAUUGUUGAUUUUUGACCAUUUAAUAUGAACUUUGUAAAUAUGAUUUGUUUCUAUUGCUUUACGAUAAAUUUGAAAUUUUCAAACCGCGGAUUCGACUUGUAUGUGUUGUUAUACUGCCCAAAAAACUCCAAUAAAUUAAUUGUACAUUUUCACCGAGUUAUGAUUUUGCGUAUGACUUCAAUCAUAUGGUCAUCACGUACAAACCGGUUUUGAGCACACCCUGAGGUAACUUAUUUAGCUAUUUAUUAUCCAUUUUUCUUUCUUUUGAUUUAAUUAAUUAAUUAAAACUUUUAAUUAGUUUAAUUUUGAUUAAUCAAUUUUAAUUAAUUUAAUUAUUUGAUUUAAUUCAAUAAUUUUGAUAAUUAAUUUAUAUUAAUUCAAUUAACCGAUUUAAUCAAGUUUUAAUAAAUUAAUUUUGUUAAAAAAAAGGAAAUUUAUUAACUUCUUUCACACUCUCACAACUUCAUAUUACUUCAAACAAAAACUAUUUCAUGUCAUCAUCAAUCCAUGAUCAUUUCAAACAAAUUCAAACCAAUUCAAUUCAUCAUCAAUCCAAACUAAUUUCAAAAAGCACAAAACCACAAUUCUUGAUUUAAGAGUCAAGCCCAUUUUAAAACACCUUUGUAAGUCGAUUGCUCUUCGCAUCGCCAUCAACCUCACAUUGCUUACUCUUGGGCUUCCUUACAAUGAGACCUACUUGGUUAUUGAUUAAUCGAGUAGAUGAAUAAUACACUAAAUAAAAUUCAUUUCAUUCAUAAACACAAAUUCAAAUCAUUUUCCAAACCAUCUAAAUGAAUAAUACACUAAAUAAAAUUCAUUUCAUUCAUAAACACAAAUUCAAAUCAUUUUCCAAACCAUCUAGCUUCAAAAGAAUUUUCUCUCUUAACACAAAUUUUGGGAUGAAAAGGAGAUAGGAAGUGUUCGCUUCACUAUUUCUCAAUUACUCGAAUAAUUGGCGUACGCCAUAUUACGCGAGUUCUUGUCACCCGAUUAAAACUUCAAAUCAUACUAUUUCAAAUCAUUUCUACAAAUCCCAAAUCUUUUAAUUCCUUAUUUCAGAUGAUAAAAGGAUAGGAGGCGUACGCCUCACUAUCUUUCGAUGAUUCAAAUAAUUGGUGUACGCCACAUUGCUCGAAUCUUCGUUAUCAAAUCAAAACCUACCAAUCAUAAAUUCAAACUAUUUUCGCAAAUCAAAUACAAUAUCUAAAGACAUAUCUUUCUUAAAUUAAACUUUGGAUGACAACAGAUGGGAGGCGUUCGCCUCACCAUCUUUCAAUUAUUUGAAUAAUUGGCGUACGCCACAUUGCUCAAGUUAUCGACUUCCGAUUAAUACAUUUUAACUAAACUUGGAUAAAGGAAUAAGUGGCGCACGCCUCAUUAUUCUUUGAAUAAGCAAGUAGGAGGCGUACGCCUCACUACCGUGCAUAUUCAACAUCCGCAAACAAACUUCCAUAAUAAUCCGAACGAAAAAGUAAUAGAAGGCGUUCGCCUUGUUAUUCCUCGAAAGAAUUGAACGAUUGGUGUACACCACAUUGCUCAAUCUUUCGUCGUUCUUCAAAAUACCUUAACAAAUCAAACUAACUUCUCGCCCUGUGCGAUCGAAACCAAACCAAUCAAACAAAACACCCAACAUAUUAAUUCAACUCGUCACCCCCGUGUGACCAAAACUCUUUUCAAAAAGAACACUGUUAAUCCUUUCUAAAGCGCAUCACAAACCAAUGCUUAAGCCUCCGCCGAGAUUAGACAAGCCAGCGUUUAGCCUUUAGAACGCGAUCUACACAGUCGUUCAUUAAAAAACACCAACCAAAUCGUAGUUUCCCGAACUACGAAUGCUCUGAUUUCCUUAUUCACCAUAAGGAUACGUAGGCAGGAGAUUGCUGUAUCUUCGCGAGCACACUAAUAAAAAACCUCCCAUUUCCCCUUCCCGAGGUCUUCAUCCAUAUUUAUCAUCAAUUCUAAUUACUCGAAGAAAGCGAAUAACAUUUAACUAACAUUCAAAUAGCAAAUUAGACUAAAAGGUUCCCGUUGAGUACAACGGACGUGAGGGGUGCUAAUACCUUCCUCUUGCGUAAUCGACUCCCGAACCCGAAUAUGGUUGCGACGACCAUUAUUCUAUUUUUCAGAGGUUUUAUCGAUAUUUUCCUAUUCCUUCAUUGGGAUAAAUAAAGUUCGGUGGCGACUCUGUUCGAACAUAAUUUUUUCCGCGACCAUCGCGAGGAAUCGUAUUUUUUGAGAUGCGACAGUAGCCUGUUGUAAAAGUCAGUUCCCGUUUGACAAACAAAAACAAAUUCAGUCCCGUCUGACAUUUCAAUCAUUUUCACCAGUUCACGUCUGGUAACAUAUCCUUCAAGUGUUGUCCUCAUCUGGCAGUUCAAUCUCCUUCGCCAGUUCUCGUCUGGCAGUUCCCAUUUAAAGUCCAACCUCAUUGGCAGUCAAGAAUAAAACCCUAUAAAAACAUCCAUUUAUCCAGUUGCAUUCCCACAUGCAUCACACGAAUCAUCCAUACAUGGUUUUCCUACCAAACAAAAAAUUCAAAAAAAACACAGUGAUAUCAAUCAUCAACAUACUCAUGCAUAACACUCCCACAAAAUGGUAAUUUCAACUAAACAAAAAUCAUUCGCAUUCCUACAUGCACAACCAAAUAUCCCCAGCAAACUGCAUACUUGCAUGCAUCUCAUGCAUCAUCCCAUGCAUGGUAUUCCCACCUAAAAUGGAGCAUCAUACGAGAAUCAAACAUAAAAUAUCAGGAUCCAAGGUCAUUCAUGUAUAUCUUGGACAUUUCUCAUUUCAAAUUGAAGUUAUUACCCUGCAUGUGCUCAUGGAAUCAUUUUCCAAUAAGCCAUUUUCUUUCAACUUUAUGAUUAAUAAUGACAUUCCCAACAUUUUCAUUGCUAUCAUUGCUCCCCAAGCAGAGGUUACCCUAAAAAGUCUCUUAUGAGCUUUUUCCCUUGCAGAGCAUUUCCAAUAUGUCUCCCUCAAAAGGAGUCUUUUCUUAAAAUUCCCCCAACAGCCGAAUAUUCGAGAUACUGCUUCAUUUAUCUGAAGAAUCUCAUUUCUCUGUUUGAGAUACUACUUCAUUCAUUUGAAGAAUCUCAUUUUGGUUUUUAGAGAUACUGCUCUAAUAUCCUCGGAGAGUCUUAGAUUCGGUUAAGGUAUCUUUCCCUUGUUGGAAUAUCUUAAUUCUAUCAUAUAAGAUGCUGCUUCGACUCGAUACAGAGAGUCCUCAUUUUUGUGUUUAGAACUCUCAUCAAUAUGAAGAGUCCAAUUUCAAGAUUCUUUAGAAUACUUCAUAAUAUCCUCGGAAGUCUUAGAUUCGGUUAAGGUAUCUUUCCCUUGUGAAUAUCUUAAUUCUAUCAUAUAGAUGCUGCUUCGACUCGAUACAGAGAGUCUCAUUUUUGCUGUUUGAGAAACUCUUCAUCAAUAUGAAGAGUCUCAUUCAGAUUCUAAAGAAUACUACUCUAAGUACCUCGGAGAGUCUUAGAUUCAAUUAAGGUAUCAUUCCCUUGUUCGGAAUAUCUUAAUUCUAUCAUAUAAGAUGCUGCUUCGACUCGAUACAGAGAAUCUCAUUUUUACUGUUUGAGAUAUUACUUCAUCAAUAUGAAGAGUCUCAUUUCAUAUUUUUUAGAGAUAGUGCUCUAAUAUCCUCGGAGAGUCUUAGAUUCGGUUAAGGUAUCUUUCCCUUGUUGGAAUAUCUUAAUUCUAUCAUAUAAGAUGCUGCUUUGACUCGAUACAGAGAGUCUCAUUUUUGCUGUUUGAGAUACUGCUUCAUCAAUAUGAAGAGUCUCAUUUCAGAUUCUUUUAGAGAUACAUCUCUAAUAUCCUCGAAAAGUCUUAGAUUCGGUUAAGGUAUCUUUCCCUUGUUGGAAUAUCUUCAUUCUAUCAUAUAAGAUGUUGCUUCGACUCGAUACAGAGAGUCUCAUUUUUCCUGUUUCAGAUACUGCUUCAUCAAUAUGAAGAAUCUCAUUUCAGAUUUCUAGAGAUACUGCUCUAAGUAUCCUCGGAGAGUCUUAGAUUCAAUUAAGGUACCAUUCCCUUGUUCGGAAUAUCUUAAUUCUAUCAUAUAAGAUGCUGCUUCGACUCGAUACAAAGAAUCUCAUUUUUAUUGUUUGAGAUACUGCUUCAUCAAUAUGAAGAGUCUCAUUUCUGAUUUUUUUAGAGAUACUUCUUUAAUAUCCUCGGAGAGUCUUAGAUUCGAUUAAGGUAUCUUUCCCUUGUUGGAACAUCUUAAUUCUAUCAUAUAAGAUGCUACUUCGACCCGAUACAGAGAAUCUCAUUCUUACUGUUUGAGAUGCUGCUUCAUCAAUAUGAAGAGUCUCAUUUUAGAUUUUUUUUAGAGAUACUGCUCUAAGUAUGCUCGGAGAGUCUUAGAUUCAAUUAAGUUAUUUUUUCCCUUGCUGGAACAUCUUAAUUCUAUCAUAUAAGAUGCUGCUUCGACCCGAUACCGAGAAUCUCAUUUUUACUGUAUGAGAUGCUGCUUCAUCAAUAUGAAGAGUCUCAUUUCAGAUUUUUUAGAGAGACUGCUCUAAUAUCCUCGGAGAGUCUUAGAUUCAAUUAAGGUAUUUUUCCAUUGCUGGAACAUCUAAAUUCUAUCAUAUAAGAUGCUACUUUGACCCAAUACAGAGAAUCUCAUUCUUACUGUUUGAGAUGCUGCUUCAUCAAUAUGAAGAGUCUCAUUUCAGAUUUUUUUUAGAGAUACUGCUCUAAGUAUCCUCAGAGAGUCUUAGAUUCAAUUAAGGUAUUUUUUCCCUUGCUGGAACAUCUUAAUUUUAUCAUAUAAGAUGCUGCUUCGACCCGAUACAGAGAAUCUCACUUUUACUGUUUGAGAUGCUGCUUCAUCAAUAUGAAGAGUCUCAUUUUAGAUUUUUUAGAAAUAUUGCUCUAAAUAUCCUCGAAGAGUCUUAGAUUCGAUUAAGGUAUUUUCCCCUUUGCUGGAAUAUCCUAAUUAUAUCAUAUAAGAUAUUGUUUCGACCCGAUACAGAGAAUCUCAUUUUUACUGUUUGAGAUGCUGCUUCAUCAAUAUGAAGAGUCUCAUUUCAGUUUUUUUAGAGAUACUUCUCUAAUAUCCUCAGAGAGUCUUAGAUUCAAUUAAGGUAUUUUUCCCUUGCUGGAAUAUCUUAGUUCUAUCAUAUAAGAUGUUGUUUCGACCCGAUACAGAGAAUCUCAUUUUUACUGUUGGAGAUACUGCUUCAUCAAUAUGAGGAGUCUCAUUUUAGAUUAUUUUUUUGAGAUACUGCGCUAGCAUCCUCGGAGAGUCUUAGAUUCAAUUAAGGUAUCUUUCCCUUGCUAGGAAUAUCUUAAUUCUAUCAUAAAAGGUGCUGCUUCGACUCAAUACAAAGAAUUUCAUUUUUACUAUUGAGAUGCUGCUUCAUCAAUAUGAAGAGUCUCAUGCCAGAUUUUCUUUAUACUACUCUAGCAUCCUGGAAAAGUCUCGAGAUUUAGCUAGGAAUGUCACUCCAUUACUAACAUAUCUCGACUAUGACGUCCAAGAUAAGUUCUGACGACUCCCAAAAAGUCUUGGUUGUUCCAUUUUACUUUAGGAUAAUGUCUCUCACUAUUUCUCACUGCAUUUUCUUCCUAUAUUUUCUUCCUUGCAUUUCCUAGGAAAAAAUUUGGGUCUUUUCGUAUUUAAUUACCUUCCACUAUGAAUGUACGAAGACUGUUGUCAUUCUUACCUUCUAGUUCAAGAUAAUGAAAUAGGGGCAACUGUCAUACCCCAAUUUUGUCUGGGCAUAUUAAACUUUUUGUAAAAUCGAUUUCAUUUUUAAUUUGCAUCAUACGCACAGCAUGACAUGCAUUCCAUCAUGAAUAAUACCUGAAAUAUCAGUCAGGAUAAACUUAUUAAAAAUACAGACAAAUCGGUUGAAUCUUUCCUCAAAUACGGACAAAAUCAGCAGAUAAAAAGUUUCGAAAUUAAAAUUCCAGACGCCAGUAUUAUUAAUCUACGGUUCAUGUAGUUUAACCUGGUGUGCUCGUUGUAUUUUUCAGCGGCCAUUUUAGUUGCGUUUUAACCCGCCUGAGCCUUUUAACCGGGGCAAACUUAUUUCAGAAUUUGAAGAAACGUUGUAUUUUUUUAAUAAGUAUAUUUUGUGCUGAUCAUUUUAGUGCGUCUGAUUUAAUUUUUCGAGCAAAUUUUCAUCCGACUUCUGUUUAUAAUAGGUCAUUUUAUUUCUUUGUUCUAAUAUUUAAAUCAGAGAUUGUUUUAUUAUUAUUAUUUUAUUCAAAUUAAAAUAUUGUCUAGGAGUUUUAAUAAAUAUGUUUCUUUAAUAAUAGAUAAUAAGAAUUAUUAAUAAAAAAAGGAAAAGGAAAAUAAAAUUAAUAAACCUCACGUUUCCUCUCUCCCUCACGUUUCCUCUCUCCCUCACAUUUCCUCUCUCCGUCACGCUUCCUCUCUAUCACACGUUUCCUCCUUCAGUCCAUUGACUCUCCCUAUUGGCUGGAAAUAAAAAGAAGGAAAGACCAAGGUGACCAUGACACAAUACACUCUCUCUCUCCAAAAAAAUAAAAAAAAGACGAUUUAAAAAACAGAAAGAAAAAAGAAAGACGUUAAGGCUCUCUCACUGUUUAUCUUUUAAAAAGAUCUCCCUCCUCCACUCACUCUUUCUACCACCACCGCCGCAAUUUCCUUCCACUUAUUUUCUUCCUUCCACCGCGCAUCACCACCGACGCACACCAUUCUUCAUCACUGACGGAAGCCACCAACUACACGACCUUCACGUCAACAACCUUCGGCGAGAUCGUCUUCCAAACACACAUCCACUAACCGCUUCCGCCUCACCUCCUCUCGACCUAGCUGACACCGAUGUAAGUCCUCAUUUCCGUCACCGCUCAACCAAUCACCGCCGGCAAACCCUUCACCUCGCCGCGUCUCCUCACUGUUUUCCAUCCGGCGACCACCACACCGCACCCUCACUCGCCCUAACCACCGUCGCCGUGAAAACCAAACCCAAACAC
rnacentral:lncRNA from 1 species